AGUUUAGCUUUUGGAAGAAAAAUGCAGAAUUUGUCCUCGCUCGCAAGGUGUUCGAUGAAAUGUCCCAACCGAAUUCCUUUUGUGGCGAAGUUAGCGGUGAGAGAGGAAUUUGAUUUAGUUGAUGUUAACGGCUCAAUAUACUUAAUCCUGACACUAGGAAUUUGAUUCAUUGGCCAAACGGCCAGGUUCUGAGUGGAGAACUAGACAAUGGGAAUGGAGACGAAAUUGUGUAUAAUUGGAGGGAAC